AAGGCUUUAAGUUAAUUAAACUAAUAGCCUUCAAAGCUAUAAAUAUAAGUAAUUAAUCUUUUAAGCCUUA
rnacentral:tRNA from 1 species